CUUGAACGCUGGCGGCAGGCCUAACACAUGCAAGUCGAACGAGUGGCGUACGGGUGAGUAAUGUCUGGGCCACUGCCUGAUGGAUGGGGAUAACUACUGGAAACUGUAGCUACUUCCGCCUACCAUCGGCUGUGCCCAGAUGGGAUUAGCUAGUAGGUGGGGUAAAGGCUCACCUAGGCGACGAUCCCUAGCUGGUCUGAGAGGAUGACCAGGCACACUGGAACUGAGACACGGUCCAGACUCCUACGGGAGGCAGCAGUGGGGAAUAUUGCACAAUGGGCGCAAGACUGAUGCAGCCAUGCCGCGUGUAUGAAGAAGGCCUUCGGGUUGUAAAGUACUUUCAGCGGGGAGGCGUUACCCGCAGAAGAAGCACCGGCUAACUCCGUGCCAGCAGCCGCGGUAAUAC
rnacentral:rRNA from 1 species